GACGUAGGGGGCCAGCGUUGUUCGGAAUUACUGGGUGUAAAGGGUUCGUAGGCGGUGUGGCAAGUCGGGAGUGAAAUUUCUGGGCUCAACUCAGAGACUGCUUCCGAAACUGCUGUGCUGGAGUGUGGGAGAGGCGCGUGGAAUUGCAGGUGUAGCGGUGAAAUGCGUAGAUAUCUGCAGGAACACCCGUGGCGAAAGCGGCGCGCUGGACCACUACUGACGCUGAGGAACGAAAGCUAGGGGAGCAAACAGG
rnacentral:rRNA from 1 species